UACGAAGGGUGCAAGCGUUACUCGGAAUUACUGGGCGUAAAGCGUGCGUAGGUGGUUUGUUAAGUCUGUUGUGAAAGCCCCGGGCUCAACCUGGGAAUGGCAAUGGAUACUGGCAGGCUAGAGUGCGGUAGAGGGUAGUGGAAUUCCCGGUGUAGCGGUGAAAUGCGUAGAGAUCGGGAGGAACAUCAGUUGCGAAGGCGGCUCUCUGGGACGGUGACUGACGCUGAGACGCGAAAGCGUGGGGAGCGAACAGG
rnacentral:rRNA from 1 species